rfam:Halobacillus mangrovi strain KTB 131, complete genome.
UUCCAUCUUCGGGGCAGGGUGAAAUUCCCGACCGACGGUGAUGAGUGUUUGCGCACUCUUAGUCCGUGACCCGUGAGGUUUCGACCGAGCGGUGGACCUGGUGAAAAUCCGGGACCGACAGUUACAGUCUGGAUGGGAGAAGAUGUCG